AAGCUAUCCUCAACAAUAAAAGGACUUCAGGGGGAAUCACUAUCCCUGAACUCAAGCAGUAUUACAGAGCAAUAGUGAUAAAAACUGCAUGGUAUUGGUACAGAGACAGACAGAUAGACCAAUGGAAUAGAAUUGAAGACCCAGAAAUGAACCCACUCACCUAUGAUCACUUGAUUUUUGACAAAGGAGCCAAAACCAUCCAAUGGAAAAAAGAUAGCAUUUUCAGCAAAUGGUGCUGGUUCAACUGGAGGUCAACAUGUAGAAGAAUGCAGAUCGAUCCAUCCUUAUCACCCUGUACAAAGCUUAAGUCCAAGUGGAUCAAGGACCUCCACAUCAAACCAGACACACUCAAACUAAUAGAAGAAAAACUAGGGAAGCAUCUGGAACACAUGGGCACUGGAAAAAAUUUCCUAAACAAAACACCAAUGGCUUACGCUCUAAGAUCAAGAAUCGACAAAUGGGAUCUCAUAAAACUGCAAAGCUUCUGUAAGGCAAAGGACACUGUGGUUAGGACAAAACGGCAACCAACAGAUUGGGAAAAGAUCUUUACCAAUCCUACAACAGAUAGAGGCCUUAUAUCCAAAAUAUACAAAGAACUCAAGAAGUUAGACCGCAGGGAAACAAAUAACCCUAUUAAAAAUGGGGUUCAGAGUUAAACAAAGAAUUCACAGCUGA
rnacentral:lncRNA from 1 species